ACCUUCGAAAAGGGAAAACGUGAUAGAAGAUUAGAAGUCGUGCCCCAAAUUAACAAGAUAAAUAGAUAGAAGUGUUGGCCGGCCAGAAUGAAAACGCAGACUCCAUCUCCUCCUGGAAUCUUUAACUCUAUUGUUCUCUAUGGUAGUGGAGCUCUAUUCUCUAUCGGUAAGGAUCUCUUAUCCUCUUCUUUAGUCUUUAUGAUUCUCCUAUUUCUUGGAAAUUUGACUUAGGGUUUAGAGAAAUCUAAAUUGGGGAUUUUUGUAUUUUUACUUUUUAUUUUUUAUGAAUUGUUUUCAGAUUGAAUCAGAAUUCUUUUAUGUAAACUUUCAAUCUCAAAUACAGCCCCAAAACGGGAAUAUGAUUUUUUUUGAUAAGGCAUUGGAUUCACUGUAUAUGUAUCUAUGUUUUCAUAUUUAUAUCAUGUUUGCCGGAUUGCAUACGGGGUUGAGGUACUUUGAUGACAACAUCAAUACUCAAUAGGUUGGUGAAAGAGAGUAUAUAUUGGCGUUGAUCCAGAACAUCUUUUUGGGAACAAGCAGAGCAUCUCACUGCUUCCAAAUUUAGAGUGGAAGUUAGUUUGUUCUGUUUGGUUCAACUCCGAAAAGAAAAUAAUCAGGUAUACAUUCUCUUUGUUUUUUGUUGUUGUUCUUUCUUUAUUUUUCUUUACCUAUUUUCAUUUCUUCUUAGGUUCUGUUAAAUCUCAUUGUGCACAGUUUGCAUAACUUUUGGGUAUAGUUAAUUUGUGGGUUGCUCAGUAUUAGAGUUUUAAUAUCAACAUCUGGUUCAUGCUCUUUAGUUUGAAGAAAUAUAUCCAUAUGGUUCAAUAUCUUAAAUGGUCACAAUAGGUCAAAUACAUCUUAGUAUUAUAAUUUGCAUUCUUAAAUUGAAAUUUAUGGCCGGUAUGCUAACACAACUAGUGAAUGAUAAAAUUCUAGCUUUGAUACACUCUUGAUGACUGACAUAAGCUUUAUCAUUAUUGAUUGUUAUGUUGUACAUUAUUGCAAGAUGGAAUGAAUAAAUACUUCAAAAAGCUCUAAAUUUGUGUACUCUUUCUCUUCGCUCAAAGAAUUCUGUUCAGUAAUAUAAUAAAUUUGGUUGUUUUUUUCUUUUGCCUCACAAUCUGUUAAGGAAAUGUUUGUUUGUUUUUCCUUCUUAUCAUGAUUUUGAGUUUGGUUUUAAUUUGUUUUUCCUGAUUUUUUUUUUUUUUGGCGUUUCCAGUUUAUGUUUGGUUUUGUUCUUGAGUUCUUGUUAUAAUGCAUUUAGUGCUCUCACUCUUUUUUAUAUGUGAAUUGUUUAAUGUGUUGCAAUUGGGGCUUUGGUUUGCUUUGUUGCUAUAGAAUUCUAAUUCCCUAAAGGUAUGGUCUGAUGGCAGAGGAAUAUAUAUUUAGUAAUUUGUCUUGUUGAGAAAUGAUUAAUGUAGUAACAUUAGAUGCUGAUAGAGGUUGUUUUUCGAAUAAGCUAAUAGGCCAAGACUUCUUCAUAUUUAACCAUCACUCAUAGGUAAGAGUAUCGCACAUUUAAGUUUCAUCAAGUAUAUAAUAUGUCUAAAGUUUCAUGUAUCUACUUAGUAUGUUUUAGUUUAUUAUAUAUGUUUGUGUGAAAUUUCAGAUUACCUUUACACUUUUGGAAGUUCAGUUCAAUUCUGAGAUACACUGUGAGUUUUGGAAGCUGCUUUCGACGAAUAGAUUAGUUUUGUUAUUAAGACUUUCGAUUUGUAUCAUCAGUGUACACGGGCAAAAGAACUUGAUGGCUGAGACAAUGUAGUACUUGUCUAAUUUUAUGAAUGUUAAUUACAUUGUAUUUUGAGAUUAUUUAAUGAAAGUCCAUAUACUUUUGAUUUCU